UGAAUUCUUGACUCAAAAUAUGGCUUGCAAUAUGAAUUUUUUAUUCAUAUGAAAUGAAAUUGAGAUAGUAUGUUUGGAAUACUUGAAAUUUAAUUAUUCUUGACUCAAAAUGUGGCUUGCAAUAUGAAUUUUUUAUUCGUAUGAAAUAAAAUUAAGAAUUUGAGAUAGGAUGAUUGGAAGACCUGAAAUUUGAUUAUAUGGAUUUUUUUAUUCAUAUGAAAUUGAGAGCAUUUUUGGAUGUCCCAAAAUUUAAUAAUGAGAUAGAUUCUUGACCCUAAAAGUGACAUUCAAUAUGAAUUGCUAUUCAUAUGAAAUUGGGAUUGAAUGACAGUAUUGUGCCUCGAUGACCAUAGAUACAAAUUUGAUAUUUGAGUGUAUAUAAUCCUAAAUUCUUGAUAAAUUAGAAUGAAAAUAUUGUCCCUCAAUGACCUUGGGUGGUGUGAUGAAAUUGGGUGGUCUUGUUGAAGCGGCAUCUUGCAAUGCCUUGUUGACACAGGGAUUGGAAGGCAAAGAGACAUUCAAAAUAUCAUUAAACUGUUGGCAGAGAUGGAAAAAACAAAAAUACGAGUCCAGUGGUAUAACCUUUGGGAUUUUUACUAAUCACAUAUGCAAGGCUAGGAGGAUCGAUGAGGCGUUGGGGGUGUUUGAUAAAUUGGUGUUGAACCUGAUGUGGUUUUGUAUAAUACUUUGAUUGACAAUCUUAGUAAAGUUGGGAGGGUAGAAGAUGGUUUGAGUUUGCUGGCAGAGAUGAAAACGGAGAAGAAAAAUAGGCCAAACACUGUGUCAUAUAAUUGCUUGAUUGAUGAGUUCUGCAAAGCUGAAAGGAAAUGUUGUUACUUAUACUGUGUUGAUAUCUGCAUUCUGUGGUGUGAACAAUAUUGAUAAAAGCCAUGCAUAUAACUUGCUACUAUGUUCUCAUAAGUGGGUUCUGUAAGAAGAAGAAAUUGGUUUCUUACCUUGGCAAAGCUGGAGAUUUUGCAACUACUAGUAAGGUGAUGAAAAAGAUGAUAAAAGAGGGUCUUAAGCCAUCUGUUGUCACAUAUGAGGCAGUUAUACAUUCAUUCAUAUUUUUUAAAGAAGAAUGUUGAUGAGGCCAUGAAGUCACUCUGUUAGUAGUAGGCUUGUGCUAUAAGUUAAAAUGCUUAGCUUUUAAUUGUCUAAGCUCCAAUUUUUCGUACUCUUUUGAGCUCAUUUUCAGACCACAUUAUUUUAGUAAUAUGUUGCGGAAUCACAAUACUUUACUUGGUUAUCAUAUUGAAUAAUUGUUUGAACUUUGAAGGGGUUGAUCAUGAACUUUCUAUUAGGAUACUAUGACACUUUUUUUCCUGUUGAUGAAAUAAUUGAACUAUCUAAGAAUCAGAGGACAAGAUAGUGUGCCAAUUGAGGAAGGCAGCACAAUGGAUUGUGUGACCCUAACAAUUAAAAAUUGAAAUUUUCACAGACCACGUAGCGUGUGGAAGAAGGGAUAUGUGCAAGUUGUGAAGUCCUGAUGUUUGUUAUUGUUAAUAAUUUUUAUUAUAUAGGUGUUUUGCAAUUGAAACUGUGCUUUUCUGUGACAAUCAAUCUACAAUUGCAAAUUCUGUCACUUAAAUUUCAGAUGCAUAUUCAGUUUUUUCUCAAUGCUUUUUUGCUAGCUUUUGUAUUUUAUUUUAUUUUACCCUUGUGUGCUCAAUUGUCUCUUUGGUAUAGGUUCAUGGUGUAUUUUAUACCAGAUCAAAAGUUCUAGUAUUAAUGGUUACUCUGAAUACUGUCUUGGAAUUGAAUUAUGUUGAUUGGUUAAUCUUCCUUUCACUUCCUUUUACAUGUUUCCCUUUUCUUAUGUUAUUUUAUUUUCUUUCUAUUGCUUUUGGUGUGCUGAAAAUGUUUUCCUAUUGCUAUUCUUGAUUAUGCUGAGAGCAAAAUUGGAGUUGAUGAUGAUCAGUGUAUUGUUGUGAACUGGAGUUGAAGGAUGAAAGACUACUGAGACAAAUUCAUCCAAGGAAUUGCAGGACUUCUGAUUUGACGUCUUAUGGUUUAAAACUUUGAUGGCACAGAAAUUUGAAAUAGUCAUUGAGGAUCAAGCUGGAAAAUAGUUCAAGUGUAUGAUCAGUUGAGAAAGCUGAAAUGACAAAAUCAAUGGAUUGAUUUAUUUAGGAAUUUGAUAUAUGAUUACUUGAUUUGCUUGGCAUUGUAAAGACAUCCACAACUGUCUCUUUUUGUUAUAAGUAUUUUAAGAUUCCCUUCAUUAAGUUGCUACAAUUCUUAUUGAAGAGGAAAAAAAUCACCACAACAGAAGUAACUUAUUAAGUUUAUCCGUAAAUAUAAAUUAUGUUAUUACUUUUUUAAUUGAA